GAAUCUGGGAGCAAAAACAGCCGAAACACGCCAACGUUUAGUUUGGAAUGAAUUUAACCUCUCGAUUAACACUGUGAACCCUUUGUGGGAUGGGGAUUAUGUAUUUGUUAAGUGUUUUAUAUGUCAGGCACUGUAUUAAGCACCGGGGUAGCUACAAUCUAAUCAAGUUGGACUCAGUCGAUAUCGCACACGAGGCUCACGGUCUUAAUCCCCAUUUUAAAGAUUAGCUGAGACACAGAGAAGUGAAGUGAUUUGCCCAAGGUCACACAGCAGACAAGCGUCCUUCUGAUUCUUUGAAACAAAAUUAGCCUUUUCAGCCUGGGAACCAAAACUGGACCUUCCACUGGGCUGGAUUCGUCUUUCUUUGAUUUUCUAUUCCUUAUCUCCAAUCUAUCGUACAGGUGUUUGCUUGCAGGGGUGCGGUGAGCAGACUUUACUUUAUCAGGGUCCGAGCCAAGAGAAGCAGCGCAGUCUAAAAGAAGCAGUGGGGCCCCAGUGGGAAGAGCAUGGGCCUGGACGUCAGAAGGACCUGGGUUCUAAUCCUGCCUCCGCUACUUGUCCGCUGUGUAACCUUGAGCAAGUCACUUCAUUUAUUUGUGCCCACUUACCUCGUCAGUAAAACGGGGAUUAAAAGCGUGAGCCCAAUGUGGGACGGGGGUUCUGCCCAACCUGGUUAUCCUCUAUCUAGGUCGUACAGCUCGUAGUACAGUGCCUGGAACGUUGCAAGUGCUUAACGGAUACCAGUUUAAAAAAAAAAUUCAUAAUUUUUUGAAAGCACCUCACAGCACUCCCCGGCACACCAGUCCCGCGGUCAAGGCUACAGGAACCGAACUAUCCAAGAGAGGUGGCCGGUGCCUCUAUUUCUGGGGUCGGAAGGCAGGAGAAGAGAAGACUCACCUGUCUGGAGCAGGACCCCCACCCAACCAUGAGACCCCGGAUCCCGGCCGGCCUGCUGCUGCUGCUGUUCCUGGGCCUCCUGAUCUUGGUCCUCCCACCUGCAGAGGGGGCCAAUCCCAGAAGGCUGAACUGCUGUUCCAGAAUCAUGGGGAUAAUAAAAGCCAUGAAAGGGAAAGGAGGCUUCAGGUACAUCUGCCGGCAUUGCAGACACAAGGAAAAACCUGGAUUCCCCAGUAGCUUUCUGGUGCCCGGACCCCUCCCCAGCCUGUAACCGAAACACAGGAGCAGUGGCCCUGGCUGAUGGUGGGCAGUUCAAGCGAUUUCCACACCUGUUGCAGCUCCUGCAGGUCCUGCCUCUCAAAGACCUCUUCUUGAGGCCCAAAUCCACAACUAAGUCAUUGGCCUGACUUUAAUGGGACAGAAGAAGACCAGGACCCUGACUCUAAUAAUCAUGUACCCAAUCGAUCGUAUUUAUUGAGCACCUACUACGUGCAGAGCACUGUACUUAGCACUUGGGAGAGUAGCUCGUUGUGGGCGGAGAAUGUGUCUGUUUGUAGUUAUAUGGUACUCUCCCAGUACAGUAAGCGCUCAAUAAGUACGAUUGAAUGAAUUCAUUCAAUCGUACUUAUUGAGCGCUUACUGUGUGCAGAGCACUGUACUAAGUGCUUGGAAUGUACAGUUCGGCAACGGAUGAAUGAAUGAAGGAAUGAAAUAAGAGACUUGGUAGCCCCUGACAUGUUUUGGAGUUGCUGGUGCCACUUCCGGGGUAAGGCAGCAGGCCUCAGGUUCCGCUGAGGAAAGGAGGGACAACAGGGUGGGGUGAACUGGAGUAAAUGGUUCAGCUUCUUCAGCCUCGAGUCUCCCUCUUUAAGUGGACACACUGAUUCGGCGUACUCUGGGUCUGGUGGGAGGAAAGAAAGGAGCACGGGGAGGUGGGGAGCUAUUGCUAAUCGGUCAUCUGUGUGAGGUUGUGGUCAAACCACUGGGUCAUCUCUGGGCAAGGUUCUGGAUGUCCAUUUGAAGCAUUCACUAUAGGGCUGGAGGGCAACUCCGUAGUCAUCCCUCUUGGAGGGUGGCCACCACACAGGUUUCCGGUCAAGGGAGUCUCCAACACCAGGCCUCAGUCUUGCUGACCCCACCAAUAGUCUCACUCCCAUCUCUCCCCUGGGAUGGAUCUCUGGGGGUGAUAAGGACUUUUGGUUGGUUGCUAGGGCAGAUCAGAAUUGGUGCUGGAGCAGCUGCAGUCAAUCUGGUCACAAGAUCAGACCCCAUUCUAAAAUCCCACACGUUAUGUGGUCCGAGGGAGCAGCGUGGCCUAGUGGAUAGAGCACGGACCUGGGAUUCAGAAGGCCGUGGGUUCCAAUCCCAGCUCGGCCACUUGUUUGCUGUGUGACCUUGGGCAAGUCACUUAACUUGUCUGCACCUCAGUUCCCUCAUCUUUAAAUUGGGGAUUAAGAGUGUGAGCCCCAUGUGGGACAGUGACUGUGUCCAGUCUGAUUACCUUAUAACUACCCCAGCACUUAGGCACUUGACAAAUACCAUAAUUAUUAUUAUUAGUGAGUGAGAUCCAUCCCCGGUCCUCAACCUCCUGCCUCCCUGACAAGAGUCACUUCAGUGGCCCCUGUUCCAACUGUGAAAAACCAAAGGAAAUAAAAAAUUCACUUUCAGAAGAGACCAGUGGGCAUGUGUGGCAUUCAGAGGGGCUGAGCCAGGGCUGAGUGCAUGUGACCAUAUGCAUCUUUGCUUUAAACUAUGAACUCCUCCACCUGGACUGGGCCAUUGGUGGACUCUUCCUCAGUCAGACUCAAUAAACAUAGAAUAACACCCACCCUGGUGUGGAAGGAUUCCUCUCUCAAAGAUGUCACGUUGCCCUUUUCCUCAUCUUGAGCUGAGGCCCCUAAGAAGGUCGUGGCUCCACUCUACAGUGGCCCUGGAUCACUGAAAUCCCCAAGGAAAGGGAGCUUCAAUUCACUCUUCUCUGGGGCUGCAGGAAUUCUUGGUCAAAGCGUUAUUAUAAUGUUGGUAUUUGUUAAGCGCUUACUAUCUGCCGAGCACUGUUCCAAGCGCUGGGGUAGACACAGGGGAAUCAGGUCGUCCCACGUGGGGCUCACAGUCUUAAUCCCCAUUUUACAGAUGAGGGAACUGAGGUACAGAGAAGUUAAGUGACUUGCCCACAGUCACACAGCUGACAGGUGGCAGAGCCGGGAAUCAAACCCAUGACCUCUGACUCCCAAGCCCGGGCUCUUUCCACUGAGCCACGCUGCUCCGAGCCAUUUCUGAUUCAUAGCGACCCUAUCGACGAAUUUUCCCCAGAACAUCUUAUCUUCUGCCAUAAUCCGUAACCUUGCUAAAGAUUCUUUCGUUAUCAAUGUUAUGGCUUCUAGCCAUCUAGCUGCUGGUCUGCCUCAUCCACAUUUUCCCGGGACUUUUCAUAAGCAUUAGUGUCUUCUCCAGACUAUUAGUCCAAAGAGAGCAGUUGAUGCCCUAGUUUAAUUCUGUUUCUGCAGGCAGUUCUCCCUGAGACCUCUCACAGAU
rnacentral:lncRNA from 1 species